rnacentral:lncRNA from 1 species
ACCAUUCUUCUGCUUUGGAAUGCUUUGGAAGUAUUCUUCAGUAAUGAUUCUUAGGUAGAAUGUAAGGGAGAGAGAGGGGGUGGGAGAGAGAGGGAGGGAGAGAGAGAGAGUAGAGAGAGGGAGAGGGAGAGAGGGAGGGAGAGGGAGAGGGAGAGGGAGAGAGAGGAGAGAGAGAAAGAGGGAGAGGGAGAAGGAGAGAGAGAGAGAGAGGAGAGAGAGAGAGAGAGAGAGAGAGAGAGAGAGAGAGAGAGAGAGAGAGAGAGAGAGAGAGAGGGAGAGGGAGAGGGAGAGGGAGAGGGAGAGAGGGAGAGGGGAGGAAGAGAGAGAGAGAGAGAGAGAGAGAGAGAGAGAGAGAGAGAGAGAGAGAGAGAGGAGAGAUACA